ensembl:lncRNA
UUUCCUCAAUAGUUGGGUUGCGGUCACGUGGUUCUGAUGACGUGCGGAGGCAGCGCGAUUUUUGAGUGGAGGGCGGAAGUAAACAUGGAGGACACUGUGGAGAGUCAGGAGAGCAGCUAUUGUGCAACUUUAGACCCCGUUUCUCGGGAGAGAUAUAAACAGAUAGUUAAAAAAUAUAUCGGACGUGAUCCGUAUUCUUUGAAAAUGUCCGAAUACACCACAGAAGUAAAGGAUUUGCCUACUAUCGAGGCUGUGGAUAUCACCAACUACUUGGUCCUCCAGACUUCUUACUACACUAGGCAGCAAAUGAAAGCUUUCAAGAGUCUGGAGGCGUACAAUUUUUUUGUCAGCGGGUGGGUCCACAACCUUGGAACAAAACGUCUCCGUGAUGGAUACAGUUUGGUGUUUGCAAGGGUAAACCAUUCUCAGCGGUCUAACGAGACACCUCUGAAGACUUGGGUAAUUGCAAAGGAGGAUGGAGAAGUGAUUGCAGCUCAUUGCAAUUGUAUGGCAGGACUAUCAGAAUCAUGCUCGCACGUUGGAGCUGUUCUUUUUGCAGUUGAAGCUGGGGUGAAAAUGAGAGCGACAUGCACAUCAGAGCAGUGCAAGUGGCUGAUGCCAUCUCAUGUUAAAAAGAUUCCUGCUUGCCCAGUAACUCUGAUUGACUUCUCUUCAGCAAAGUCAAAAAAACGAAAGCUUGAGUGUUCCAUUGAUGGCUGCACAAGUACACAAAAGUUAUGGAUGCAAACAUGAAGCACAAGCCAGAGGAGCAUAUGAGAAGCUUAUGAGCCAGGAGCAUGCAGGCUUCUCAUGUAUGGACAGCGGUCUCUGGCUGAACCCCAAGUGGCCAUACAUGGGGUCCUCCCCUGAUGGGAUAGUCACUUGUGACUGUCAUGGAACUGGCAUCUGCGAGAUUAAGUGCCCACACUCUCAGAAAGAUGCGGUCAACCUGCGCAUGCGUGCUGGGGAGAAGGGCUUCUGCCUCAUCAGUGACGGGGAUAAUGUCACACUGGACCCAACUCAUGACUACUACUCAUGACUACUACUAUUACCAAAUUCAGGCACAGCUUCACAUUGCAAAUGCAGAGUACUGUGACUUUGUUGUGUGGAACCGCAAUGACAUAUUUGUUGAAAGGAUUUUGCCUGACCUUGAGUUUUGGGAUGAUGCGAUUCCUAAAGUUGAGUGUUUUUUUAGAAACAGUAUACUCCCAGAAAUACUGGGACAGCAAGUUACAAACAUACAUGUGUAAUGUGAUAAAAGGACGACAACAUAAUGACAUUUUGAAUAUUGUUAUGACCUGAUGGUAGUCAUUAUGAGUUCUGGC